rnacentral:rRNA from 1 species
AUGUAUGCCGGUCACCGUGGUGGAGCAUAUUCCAAGAACAGCUUUGGAAAUAUCUACACUGCUGUGGGCGUUUUUGUCCUGGACCGUAUGUUUCGUGAAGCUUGGGGGAACGAAGCACCUAGAAAGCAAGCCGAAUUUAAUGAUGUUCUUGAGAAAAAACGGAUAAACAUUUCAAUGGAACUUGUGACGGCUGUAUUAGGAGACCAUGGGCAAAGGCCAAAUGAUGAUUAUGCCGUGGUUAUAGCUGUAACAGAGUUAGGUCAUGGCAAACCAAGGUUCUAUUCUACUCCACAAGUGAUUGCCUUUUGUCUAGAAUGGCGCCUACCAACAAAUCAUGUGUGGCUAUUUUCCACAAGCCAAAUGGAGAAUUGGGGAACAUCAGUAAGUAAACAGAAAGAGCUUUGCAAACUGUUGGAUGAAUGGGCUGUGUAUAUUACAAGCAAGUGCGGAAAUAAGCCACCCUCGUCCUCGACGUAUCUUAGCGAGGCAGAGCCUUUCCUUGAACAAUAUGCUAAAGCAAACCAGGAUUUGAUAGGGGCUACCGGUGACUUGGUUCAACCGUCUAGUCCUACUACGUCCCUUCAAUGGUGUUUCAAAACCCGAGGGCCUUAUCGUCUUCUUUCCUGGUAUACCUGGUUGUGCAAAGUCUGCUCUAUGCAAGGAACUAUUGAAAAUGCCUGGUGGCCUUGGUGA